ACAGCCUGAUACUCAGGUUAAGUGCGGGCGGGAGAAGCGAUGCUUUAUACAAAUACACGAGGAUCAUGGCGUAUACAGAAUAACAAUUCGAUUCGAUCGAAGUCUUUAAAAUGGGUUCUUAUACGAUUUUGUGAGCUAAAAAUAAGGAAGGCUUAUAAAACAAAGCUAAGAUAUGCAAGGGGAGGAAAAGAAUGGUUAUAUUGGUAAAAACAGACUGGAGAACACUGAAACGUUCUAAUGGCGAUAAUUGCAACAUAUUUGUAGGUGUUCAGGAACAUUCUUGCUACUAUUUCGACAUCUGGUUGUGCCAAUGUUUUAGCUAAGGGACUGUUUUACAUUCCUGUUGGAAAAUAGUGUGGUACAGAUCUACAAUGACCGAUUGUCCGGCAAGCAACUGAAAUAUUCAUACUUCACGGAGCGGAAGAUGUUGAAAUUGCAAGAUGAUUUGGUCAUUUGGGUUGCAGAAUGUUGUCCCUCGUGUUGUCGUGUAUUGUGUAAUACCUGUAUUUGGGGAAUUUAAUAUCAAUUGCAGCUAAAGACUGUUCUUGUAGUCAAACAAAACAAUAUUGUAACCAAAUGCCAAAGAAAAUGUUUCUCUGUUAUAUAAUACUAAUUCUUCAUGGCAGCUACCUGUUCUGGUUUGGUGGGUAUCACAAUGUGAAGCACAAAUGUCUGUGGUAAUGCCUGAUUUAGUCAUGUGGGACAAUAAUGAGUGGAUUUAUGAUAAAGCAAAACAAAGGUAUCGUAAGAAAGUUCCCUUCUUCAAAUGGAAAAGACAGGUAAAUAAUAUGCCGGCUUAGCCUGCAUAUGCUAGCCUGCAUUGGCGAGAAAUACUACCAUGAUGGUAUUGUCAAAAGCAAGUACUGUAUAUUGACUUGAACAGAAACAAUUUACCGUUCAGUACUGAGCAUCAAUACUAAAACACUGCGUGCAAAAUAAGGAAAUUUAUAAUUAUUUUUUGUCAUUCUAUGAUUGAGAAAUGUCUAUCAAUAGAUAGCCUCCUGCACAGAUGUUGUUAGUGGCUGAGGCCCCACGGCCCCCACCUAACGUCUGCUCACAUUCGCUACACAUUUGACUUCCCGGCAAUUAACCAAUCACAAUCAUGUACAUGAUAAUUGAAACAUCGACCUUCACUGACCUUCACACACAUGGGCUAUUAUCAACAAGUCUGUAGUAUUUUUAAAUUUGAAAGUUUUAGAAUACUGCGCAUCAGAAAAAGGCUUUUCAUUUUAUCAUAAACGAAAAGGAUGUUUUUGACAAUCUCACAAUUAACUGAUGCUGGAAAUCACUUAUUUAUCACGCUGUUACCGAAGCUAUUCGGUGUAAUAUUCGGAUUUAAAUAUUUGAACAAAUUGUAUUAACACGUAAACAUUUACAACAAAGUGUAUAGCAAAAUGGUUUGUGCUUUGUCUGCUUUGGCUAUUGAUGCAUGAAGCUUAUAUGAUUAAAGGAUGGUAUGUAGUAUAAUCAAUCCUAAAAAUGUGUUCGCUUUUGUGGCCAUUUUAAUAGUUGUUAAUAUUUUAUAUUGUUUAUUAAAUUGAAUUUGUCUUUUUACACAUUGCCUCGUAUUAUCUAUUGCAUGUAGUACUAGCAUGCAAGUUUAUAUGAGCAUUUCAAUUAUGAAGGGUUUAUGUCAGAGGGUUGAGGUAUGUAUAUUAACUAGAAUGGCUCAUAUUACAUGCAAUAGCCAAUAAUACGAGGCAACAUAUACAAAGAACUGGUCAAAGCCAAUCGAUUCCUGUGACUUUGAGAAUUACAAAUGCGAACACAUGUUUAGGAUUUAUUAUAAUACAUACUGACAUGAGCUUCAUGCAUCAAUAGCCAAAGCACAAACCAUUCUGCCAUACACUUUGUCUUCAACAAUGACUCUGCUGUGCCAUAUAAUACAGAAUAUUUCCCUGCUUCCAAUGCCUUUGCUUUUUCAUCGCUCUCGAUUCCACUUAAUCAUGACACAGCACUCCUAGAUCGUGUAGGGUUUUUUUUACUUGAUCUCCCAUUGAAUUUAUAAUGGCGAAACCAUAAUUUAAUACUAAAUGUUUACAAUUUGUUUAAAUAUUUAUAUGUGAAUAUUACAUCGAAUAGCUUCGGUAACAGCGUGAUAAAUAAGUGAUUUCCUGCACCAGUUGUGAGAUUUACGAAAACAUCCUUUUUGUUUAUAAUAGAAUGAAGCGGAGUAUUUAAAACUUUUAAAUUUAAAAAUACUACAGACUUGUUGAUAAUAGCCCCAUGCAUGUGAAGGUCAUUGAAGGUUGAUCUUCCAAUUAUCGUGUAGAUGAUUGUGAUUGGUUAAUUGCCUGGAAGUCAAAUGUGUGGCGAAUGUGAGCAGACGUUAGCCUAGAGCACUAACAACGUCUGUGUAAGUCUUUUUUAUGAUGGAUCGGAGCCGGGCUGGUAUGUGUCGAAAAACUCAGCCGUUUUCAAAAUUAUAAAUAUACAGUAUGUACAGUAAAUAUAUUUUAUAGUAUAAUAUAUGACCACAACAAUUAGUAUAGCAGGAACAAGCCUGACAUGCAAUUGAUCCAUUAAUUAAGCUGCAAUACACCCAACUUUAUUGUUUUACUUUGCCUAAUGCCAGACAAUUUUACGUGGAGAGUCUUGCGCUUUAAUUUAAUGGAUUAAAUUGGACUUCUGUUGUCAUUCUAUGUUCUCGAGUUUUGUUUCUGUAUCGAGGUUUAUUUCAGGCCAAUAUUUGUCUUGGUAUUAAUCGAAAUAUUCAAAAGUUUACUGUACUGUACCAUACUGUAUAUUUACCAUUUUUAGUCUGUGUGGCAUUUGAAAGCUGUAAUUAUUUCCAACAAAUUGUUGACAAAUGGGAAUUUAGCUCUGAAGUAUUGGAUUAACUAUGAACCAACCAACUAUUUUACUCUGUCUAAACCCAGAUGACUUUACUCAUCAAGUCCUGAGAGAGUGCUGCCACUUAAUAGGUUAAUCAUAGUGUCCGCCUGUGCACUCUGUUAAAACCAUUUUAGUGGCAAUGCGUCCUAGUGUGGCCUACUUUGUUAUUUUACCCUAAUGGCAGAUGAAUUUACUCAUCAAGGGGAGAGUGUUGCCACAUAAUAGGUUAAUCAGAGUGUGCACCCAUUUGAGGCCAGUAGUACUAUUUUAUCAGUCUAUGACUGUAAAGUGUUUUACCCUCUUGAAAUAAAGUUUUACAUUACAUUACCCAAGUAUCUUGUCAAAACCAUUUUGGUGGCAAUGCGGCCUGGUGCCGCAUCUGCCCAUGUAUCCUGUUAACCCACUAGCUG
rnacentral:lncRNA from 1 species